AUUGAACGCUGGCGGCAGGCUUAACACAUGCAAGUCGAGCGGAGCGAGGGUGCUUGCACCUUAGCUUAGCGGCGGACGGGUGAGUAAUGCUUAGGAAUCUGCCUAUUGGUGGGGGACAACAUUCCGAAAGGAAUGCUAAUACCGCAUACGCCCUACGGGGGAAAGCAGGGGAUCUUCGGACCUUGCGCUAAUAGAUGAGCCUAAGUCGGAUUAGCUAGUUGGUGGGGUAAAGGCCUACCAAGGCGACGAUCUGUAGCGGGUCUGAGAGGAUGAUCCGCCACACUGGGACUGAGACACGGCCCAGACUCCUACGGGAGGCAGCAGUGGGGAAUAUUGGACAAUGGGCGGAAGCCUGAUCCAGCCAUGCCGCGUGUGUGAAGAAGGCCUUUUGGUUGUAAAGCACUUUAAGCGGGGAGGAGGCUACUUAGAUUAAUACUCUGGGAUAGUGGACGUUACUCGCAGAAUAAGCACCGGCUAACUCUGUGCCAGCCGCCGCGGUAA
rnacentral:rRNA from 1 species